AUACGGAGGGGGUUAGCGUUGUUCGGAAUUACUGGGCGUAAAGCGCGCGUAGGCGGAUUAGUCAGUUAGAGGUGAAAUCCCAGGGCUCAACCCUGGAACUGCCUUUAAUACUGCUAGUCUUGAGUUCGAGAGAGGUGAGUGGAAUUCCGAGUGUAGAGGUUGAAAUUCGUAGAUAUGACUCAGAACACCGAUUGCGAAGGCAGCUUACUAACAUGUAACUGACGCUGAGGGACGAAAGCGUGGGGAGCGAACAGGAUUAGAUACCCUGGUAGUCCACGCCGUAAACGAUCAUCACUCGCUGUUGGCGAUAUACUGUCAGCGGCCAAGCGAAAGUAUUAAGUGAUGCCACCCGGGGAGUACGCCCGGCAACGGUGAAACUCAAAGGAAUUGACGGGGCCCGCACAAGCGGUGGAGCAUGGU
rnacentral:rRNA from 1 species